CAGGAUUGAUCUUUGCAGCCCUCCGUCCUACUCCCUGGGGUGUCUCCCCCGCCUUGUUCCCAGAGGGCCGGCUGGCAGGGACACAUGCGCUGUUCCCUCGACCUUCUGGCUGAGAUACCCGGAGCGACUCGCCUCCCCUCCUGGGGAGGGACUGCGCCUCCAGCCCUUGGCGCCGCUCGGGUGGCGUCGCCUGGCCCCUAGGACCGCGCCCUACGUCCUGAGGGAGCACCCUGCCUCGGGCCUGCGUCCUCUCUUUAGAGUGAUUUGGUGCUGAGAUUUGAGUCCAUGGCAUUCAUGGACUCUGAAGAACCAGGAGUGACACUGAGUCAGUAAGAGUCUCUCUUCUGAUGAACUUUUACUCAAAAUACUGAAAUGUGUAUAAGGCUGCCACUGUUCACAGACUUUAUGUUCAAGGAAAUGCUGUCAAGGAGGGAGCUGUGUGAGCUGCUGAUCCAUGCUCCUGCCCAUGCCUAGAAUAAGAUGAAGAAGCUGAAGCAUAAAGCAUUUAGAAGACAAGCCACUGCAAGUUUCCAGAACUGCUGAAGAAAUUCCUUCCCUCUUAGUCCUUUGUUCAUGAUAUUCCCCCAAGAAAAAAAAAUUAAAAGCAAGCCCCAAGUAGCACAAAAUGAGAAGGGAAAAGUUUUAUAAAGGUCUGCAACAGCAGUCCAGAAGAACUGUGGAACUGAAAGUAAGAAAUAAAUAUUUACAAAUGGUGAAGACUUCAAUUCCCUUCUCUCUGGUCUUUCUAAUACAGCAUGAACUCAAGGUGCUGCCUCAUGCAGAGAAAAACUUCUUGAUGCAAAGCUUUUGAUCUGGAGCUCCUGACAUCCUCUGCCUUAGCACUUGGUAGACAUUUAGCAUCUUUGGAGAGAGUGAAGUUCAUGCCACUGUUGACAACAUUAGCCACAGUGGAACCUAGCAAACUAGGGAUCCUUUUUGGAAGCCCACCGUCAAGUUACUGGGCCGGUCAAACCCUCACCUGCUGCACUGAGACUGAGAUCUCAGAAGAAGCUACAGCCUGGCAGGUAGAAGUAAAAGGCAGUCUGACCAACCAUCAGAGAAAUAUACCUGCUGAGAUUCUCAAUGAGCAAUCCAAAAGCCAUUGUUCUGAGUGAUUCAGUGAUUGUCCCAGGCCAUUCUGUGUGUGUGUGUGUGUGUGUGUGUGUGUGUGUGUGUGUGUGUGUAUGUGUAUGAGACAAAGUGAGAAUAGGAAAAGCAAACUCAAGGGGCAUUCAUUGUUGCUACCUGCCUUCCCCAGGAGAUCCUGUAGUCAGACAACCAGCAGAACAGAACCUAGGCCAGGAGAGGUGCCCCAGAAGAUGUGGUUGUGGAGGAAGAAGGGGCCGGGUCACAGACACCCUGCACUACUGUCCAUAUUGAAGAGCUCAGAUUUCAUCCAGAAGGCAUUGGAAGCUGACAAGCAUUUUAAGCAGAGAAAUGCACUUGAGAAUGAUCAUUCUGGCCAGCUGCAACAUGGAGUGAAGUGAACAGGAACUGCUUGGCUCAUGACUGUAACAUGGUGUCUGGAGCAAAAUAACUAAGUAGGUGCUCAAUAAAUAUCUGUUACUGGAUGACUAAAUGAUCAAAUGAAUAACUUUAAUGAGGGAGAAAGAAGAGCCUGGCAAAGAGCUCACUUUGUUGAAGGUUGCCAACCGUAUCCUAAUCACAAGACAAAUGAGAGUUCUUAAUGUGUAAAGGAGGGUAACACUGUCUACUUCAUACUAUUGAUUAUGCCUUUGGGAUGCUUUCAAUAUAGUGGAGGAGGCAGAAACAAAGACAAUUAAGUAAACUAUUAACACAUUGUGAUUGGUAUCAUGAUGGAAACCAAGAUCCAAGAUAAGGAAUAACAAAGGAAACCUAUUUUAGAGGAUCUGAUUGAGGACAAUCUCCCUGAGAAUGUGAUACGUAAGCUGAGCCUCAGAUGAGGAGAAGGAACUAACUAUAUGAAGAACCAAGGGAAGAGAUUUACAGGAAGAGGAAUAACUUGUACAAAAGCUCUGAGGCAGGAAAGAUCUUGUUUUGUUUCAAACACUGUAGGACCAGAGUGAAAGGAGCUCAAAGCCUAUGCAAGAAAGUAACAAGGCAGGGGCCCUGUCACUCAGCCUGGGAAAUAAGGCAUUGAUAGCUUCAACCAGCCAACCCUCUUCCCUGUUCCAGAGGAGGAAUGAAAGUCAUCUAAGAGAGGUAGCAGAACAGACAAGCAGCUGGAAGAAUGAGAAGAAUUUCAGAUCAGGUUAAUCCUAAAUCUUCCCUAAAGGUAUCACCAUAGCCUAGAAACACUCUGAUGGGAAAGGAGUGAGUGCUCUGAAGAUAAACAAUUCAACUUGGUCAAAGGAGAUGCUUGGGAAUGGACAACCAGACUUUCCCCCAGGAAAAGUAUUACUCACCUGCCUCAUGGAAAGAGAAGGUUUUGUGUUUUUCAUUUUCCUUCAACAUUAUUGGCACCCUGAGGUCAAAUUCACAAGGGGAAAGAUGUGAAAGAAAGAAACAAGGAGAGGGAGGAACACCUUCCUAGAAGGUGUAGACCAAGGGGAGAUGAAGAAGCAAGUCAGCACAAGGAGGAAUCCCCCUUUUUGCUCCUAUCUCAAAGCUCCCCAUUGUCUCCAUCCUAAUGGAGACUGGACUGGCUGGGCAUGAGGUUCUGUGGCCCAGAGAGAAGAGAGUUGUUUUACCUCCCAUCCUCCUUGAACUUGGUGUAUGUUAUGUUUGCUCCUGAAUGAAGGUAUACCUACAUGGGAAAUUCCUCUUCCAAUGGGGAGAAUGUCCUUUCCUUUUAUUCUCUUUGAUUAUUCCUGAUUGAAGUUCUUCAUAUUUUGCCUACAGCUUUGUAGUUCCAUAACAUGUCUAGGAAGAAACAUUUUGUAGAUGAAAGCAGAUGGGAUCCCAGCAGGAGGAGGAGGAGAAGGGUAUCCCUUAUGAACUUGGAAGGUCUGUGAGAUGAAGGCCUUCUUGUGUCUUGGGCACCUCAGACUGCCAGGUGGAACUUCUCUGCCCUGGGACUCACUCCCACUCAGGAUAAUAAGUGUGGGGAAAUUCUCAGUUCUACCAUUUAUAUUACAUGACCUUGAGCAAGUUCCUUAGGCAGGCUAAAAAUAAUUUUUCCAUAACGAUGUUUUGCCAGAAUUGGAGAUCAUUAAUGGAUAAUGAAAUCAAUUUAUAACCUCAACAAUUAUUUUUUAAAAAAGAGUAGAAUGGAAAAUAAUAGAAUUCUUUGCAUAUGGUAAGGGUUAAAUAUUGUUCCAUGGAACUUGUUCCUUGUGUUUACUGGUCUCAAUGUCAAAUGCAUUGCUUAUUGUGGGUCGUGAACAAAGAAGUUUGAAAAAUACUGAGAAUUUAGUUUCUAGCUCCAGUUCCCACUCAGAAGUAAGAAGAAAGGUUAAAAUUGUAUAUUCAACACUACUCAGCCUCUUUCAGUCUCAAAUUGUCGAUUCCGGGCAUUCUGAUGUCCAUUCUUACCUUUUCCUUCCUUCUACUCUCUCACACGUGUUCCUCCUUCCUUUGCCUGCUCAGUCUCCGUCUCAGGGCUUGGUCUUACUGGUAUUAGAGCUUUAAGAAGGCAAAACCAACCAACCUAUCAACUUAACCAAGCAGGGAAAAGGUAAACCCCAAUUUACCAAGAAGGAGAAAGGAAGUAGGAAAUGCUUUUUAAAAUAACAGUUCCCACUAAAUAUAUAACCUAUCCAAGACUCAGGUUCCUUAUCUAUUACACAUGCUGAAGAUCACAUAAGCUUAAUAUUUAAAUGCCUGCCACACUUUAAAUAUUCGAUAAAUUUGAAGUCCUCCCCCUUUGGGCUCUUAACGUUGCUCAAAGAAUUUCUCUAAGCCAGUCCUUGCUGUCUGGGAACUUAGGCUGGGAUAUGGAUGUGUAUGGUACCUAGAGACAGACCAAUGCAAACAAAUCAAUGCAUCAGGGAGGAGAAGGUAUUUAUAUCAUACUCAGGUCAAGUGAGCUUUAUGGCCUGUGGCCAAGAUCCUGAGACAUAUCUUAACUGAUGAAUUCCCCAGGAAACCAGUUCAAACAUACUCAGAUUUAGAAAACAAAACAAAACAAAAAACACAAGUAUUGUUCCCAAUUAAGGUGCCUGCUAACCAGCCCUAAGCAAAAUUGAGAGGGUGACGGCUCUGUUCCCAAGCCCCCCUGCCGCCCUGCUCCCUGGUUCACUGCUAAGGGGCAGUCCUCACUGAGCACAGGGUUGUUCUCAUGCUCCUUUUACGACCCACCCCCCCCAACUAUUCUGAGAAGACUCUGACACGUGUAAAAUAAUUGACACUUUAACCAAAACCCAGUCUCG